GAUUUCACGUAUGUUUUUACUUUUAGAAAUUUUUUAAAAUAUAAGUGAGGGGUGAUACGCUUUCGUUUUUUAGGAUAUCUAGUUUUAUUAUUAAAAAGAGGGGUAACCUUUCUAAAGUUUUUGUUUUAUUUAAUGUGAGUGUUGAUUUUAAUAGUAGAAAAGUGUGUGAUAACUUUAUAUUUUUUUUGUGUGAAAAAUUUUAUUUGAUUGGUUAACAGGGCAAUUAAUUAGUAGAUUAGUAGAAAAAGCUUUAGAGAUUUUUUUUUGUUUACAUUGUUUAACUUAAAAAUUAUUCUUAUUUACUGAUUUUUUCUUAGACUGGUUAAUAAAAUCAUAGCUAUAAAAGUUAUAGUUUUUUCUGCUCUAUGCCUUUAGAGGUAAAUGGCUGUUUAUAACACUAAGGUAGCAAAAUCAUUAGUUAUUUAAUUGAUAACUUGUAUGAAUGAAUUUUCUAAGAAAGUAUUAGAUUUCUUUUUGAAUUUAUAGAUUUGUUGAAAAUAACAAUUUUCCCUAUAAGACUAAAAGACCCUAAAAUUUUUAUAAUUAAGUUUUUAUAAUUAUUUGAUUGGGGUAAUAAUAAAAAGUAAAUAUUGUGUACUAUUUUUUUUUUAUUGAACUUUUUUUAUUGAUAAAAGGAAAAAUACUUUAGGGAUAACAGCUUAAUUAUUUUUUAGAGUUCUUAUUAUUAAAUUAGUUUUAGACCUCGAUGUUGGAUUGGAAAAACUUUCUGGAGCAG
rnacentral:rRNA from 1 species